rnacentral:rRNA from 1 species
UGGGGAAUAUUGCACAAUGGGCGCAAGCCUGAUGCAGCCAUGCCGCGUGUAUGAAGAAGGCCUUCGGGUUGUAAAGUACUUUCAGUCGGGAGGAAGGUGGUAAGGUUAAUAACCUUGGCAAUUGACGUUACCGACAGAAGAAGCACCGGCUAACUCCGUGCCAGCAGCCGCGGUAAUACGGAGGGUGCAAGCGUUAAUCGGAAUUACUGGGGGUAAAGCGCACGCAGGCGGUUGAUUGAGUCAGAUGUGAAAUCCCCGGGCUUAACCCGGGAAUUGCAUCUGAUACUGGUCAGCUAGAGUCUUGUAGAGAGGGGUAGUAUUCCAUGUGUAGCGGUGAAAUGCGUAGAGAUGUGGAGGAAUACCGGUGGCGAAGGCGGCCCCCUAGACAAAGACUGACGCUAAGGUGCGAAAGCGUGGAGAUCAAACAGG